rnacentral:lncRNA from 1 species
CUUGAGAGAGGUCAGCGUGAGCCCCUUGCCUCACACCGGCCCCUCCCACGCUGAGAGAGGUCAGUGUGAGCCCUUGCCUCACACCGGCCCCUCCCACGCGGACAGAGGUCAGCGUGAGCCCCUUGCCUCACACCGGCCCCUCCCACGCUGAGAGAGGUCAGUGUGAGCCCUUGCCUCACCCCGGCCCCUCCCACGUGGACAGAGGUCAGCGUGAGCCCCUUGCCUCACACCGGCCCCUCCCACGCGGACAGAGGUCAGCCCGAGCCCCUUGUCUCACACCGGCCCCUCCCAUGCUGAGAGAGGUCAGCCCAAGCCCCUUGCCUCACACCGGCCCCUCCCACGCGGACAGAGGUCAGCCCGAGCUCCUUGCCUCACACCGGCCCCUCCCACGCUGAGAGAGGUCAGCCCGAGCCCCUUGCCUCACACCGGCCCCUCCCACGCUGAGAGAGGUCAGCGUGAGCCCCUUGUCUCACACCGGCCCCUCCCACGCUGAGAGAGGUCAGCCCGAGCCCCUUGCCUCACACCGGCCCCUCCCACGCUGAGAGAGGUGUGAGCCCCUUGUCUCACACCGGCCCCUCCCACGCGGACAGAGGUCAGCGUGAGCCCCUUGCCUCACCCCGGCCCCUCCCACGCUGAGAGAGGUCAGUGUGAGCCCUUGCCUCACACCGGCCCCUCCCACGCGGACAGAGGUC